AUUGAACGCUGGCGGAAUGCUUUACACAUGCAAGUCGAACGGCAGCACGGACUUCGGUCUGGUGGCGAGUGGCGAACGGGUGAGUAAUGUAUCGGAACGUGCCCAGUCGUGGGGGAUAACGUAGUGAAAAUUACGCUAAUACCGCAUACGAUCUAUGGAUGAAAGCGGGGGAUCGCCAGACCUCGCGCGAUUGGAGCGGCCGAUAUCAGAUUAGGUAGUUGGUGGGGUAAAGGCCCACCAAGCCAACGAUCUGUAGCCGGUCUGAGAGGACGACCAGCCACACUGGAACUGAGACACGGUCCAGACUCCUACGGGAGGCAGCAGUGGGGAAUUUUGGACAAUGGGCGAAAGCCUGAUCCAGCCAUGCCGCGUGCAGGAUGAAGGCCCUCGGGUUGUAAACUGCUUUUGUACAGAACGAAAAGGUUUCUACUAAUACUAGGAGCUCAUGACGGGACUGUAAGAAUAAGCACCGGCUAACUACGUGCCAGCCGCCGCGGUAA
rnacentral:rRNA from 1 species